rnacentral:lncRNA from 1 species
UGGCAGUGAGAGGAAGCCAUACUCUGCUUCCCAGUGCCUCCUCCUACAGGGCUGGCAAAUACAGGAUCAUUUCAGAGCCCUUUGAAAUAGCUCUGAGCUACUUAAACUUAGACACUUUAAGCUUUUUUUCCAUUUUUUCCUUCCCCCCUCCCCCCCCUUUUUUUUUCUUUAAUUCCUUCUGUCAGAGACAGAAAUGAGUUGCUCAGAGACAAGGAGUCUGAAUUUACAGAGGUGGUCAUUGGCAUGCUAGGCAGUGCCUGAGCAUUGGAGGUGUAAGAUUUCAUGUGAUAAAAGCAGCUGAAAUAACACUUCUUUUGGGUGCCUAAUUUCUUCAGAAGCCUAAUCCUUGCACUCUCCCUUUGCAGGUCGCAGGAUUAAUGCAGCAUCCACACAGGCAUGCUCUCCUUCAGAAAGACAUUUGCCACCGGAGACUCUGAGACAGCCCACAAGGCUGGAAGGACCUCUGCAGUGCCCCUGUCCGUCUGGGCUUGAAUGCUCGUUCCCAGGGUCAAGGACCAAAGGAAGAUGUGCAGGAACCGUGGAAAUUCCCGGUGGAGCAGCUACACACACUCCCAGAG